rnacentral:rRNA from 1 species
GAUGAACGCUGGCGGCGUGCCUAAUACAUGCAAGUCGAGCGAACAGACGAGGAGCUUGCUCCUCUGACGUUAGCGGCGGACGGGUGAGUAACACGUGGAUAACCUACCUAUAAGACUGGGAUAACUUCGGGAAACCGGAGCUAAUACCGGAUAAUAUAUUGAACCGCAUGGUUCAAUAGUGAAAGACGGUUUUGCUGUCACUUAUAGAUGGAUCCGCGCCGCAUUAGCUAGUUGGUAAGGUAACGGCUUACCAAGGCAGCGAUGCGUAGCCGACCUGAGAGGGGGAUCGGCCACACUGGAGCGGAGACACGGUCAAGACUCCUACGGGAGGCAGCAGUAGGGAAUGUUCCGCAGUGGGCGAAAGCCUGACGGAGCAACGCCGCGUGAGUGAUGAAGGUCUUCGGAUCGUAAAACUCUGUUAUUAGGGAAGAACAAAUGUGUAAGUAACUAUGCACGUCUUGACGGUACCUAAUCAGAAAGCCACGGCUAACUACGUG